UAUCAGCUGCAGGCCGACGCAGGGCUGGGUUUCCAUUUUUCGCAGCGAGUGAGUUUCGGGGAACAAGAAUAUGGAGCCGGAGAUGGAGGACAAAACGUUGGAGCAGAUGAACUCCACUUUCAUGGACUCCCAGACAGAUGAACGAUCAAAGAAAACUACAGUGUUCAAGACGAUCACGAACGGUCUGAUGACGGGCUCCAGGAAGCGACCGUCGGAAGGGAACUAUGAGAAGGAGAAGGAAGUGUGCAUCCAGCUGUUUGACCAGUGGUCUGAGGCUGACCAGGUGGAGUUUGUGGAACACCUGAUCUCACGCAUGUGCCACUACCAACACGGCCACAUCAACUCCUACCUCAAACCCAUGCUCCAAAGGGACUUCAUCACUGCACUGCCAGCUCAGGGUCUGGACCACAUAGCGGAGAACAUCCUGUCGUUCUUGGAUGCGCGUUCUCUCUGCUCGGCAGAGCUGGUGUGUAAGGAGUGGCAGAGGGUCAUCUCAGAGGGCAUGCUGUGGAAGAAACUCAUCGAGCGUAUGGUCCGUACAGACCCUCUCUGGAAAGGCCUGUCAGAGAGGCACCAGUGGGAGAAGUACCUGUUCAAAAAUCGAACCACAGAAGUCCCACCAAACUCUUACUACCGCUCCCUUUACCCCAAAAUCAUCCAGGACAUAGAGACGAUCGAGGCUAACUGGAGGUGUGGUCGGCACAAUCUGCAGCGGAUCCAGUGUCGUUCAGAGAACAGUAAGGGGGUUUACUGUCUGCAGUAUGACGACGACAAGAUCAUCAGCGGCCUCCGAGACAACUCCAUUAAGAUCUGGGAUAAGCAGUCUCUGGAGUGUCUGAAGAUCCUGACGGGUCAUACAGGCUCAGUGUUGUGUCUGCAGUAUGAUGAGCGGGUCAUCGUCACCGGCUCCUCAGACUCCACCGUCAGGGUGUGGGAUGUGAACACUGGGGAGGUGCUGAACACUCUGAUCCACCACAAUGAGGCGGUCCUCCACUUGCGGUUCUGUAACGGUCUGAUGGUGACGUGCUCUAAGGACCGUUCCAUUGCCGUGUGGGACAUGGCCUCACCCACCGACAUCAGUCUGCGCCGCGUGCUGGUCGGCCACAGAGCAGCGGUCAAUGUGGUGGACUUCGAUGACAAGUACAUCGUGUCAGCAUCCGGUGACCGUACCAUCAAGGUGUGGAGCACCAGCACGUGUGAGUUUGUUCGCACACUGAACGGCCAUAAGCGAGGCAUUGCCUGUCUGCAGUACAGAGACCGACUAGUGGUCAGUGGCUCAUCUGACAACACUAUCCGGUUGUGGGAUAUUGAGUGUGGGGCAUGUUUGCGCGUAUUGGAAGGCCAUGAAGAGUUGGUCCGCUGCAUUCGAUUCGACAACAAAAGGAUCGUUAGUGGAGCCUACGAUGGUAAAAUCAAAGUAUGGGACCUGCAAGCUGCUCUGGACCCUCGUGCCCCUGCCAGCACCCUCUGUCUGCGCACACUGGUGGAGCAUUCUGGGCGUGUAUUCCGACUACAGUUUGAUGAGUUCCAGAUCAUCAGCAGUUCCCAUGACGACACCAUCCUCAUCUGGGAUUUCCUGAACGUGUCGACCAAUGGACAGACUGAGGGCCGGUCGCCCUCUCGCACGUACACAUACAUCUCCAGAUAGCAGCCAGCCAUCCUAUUUAUUCUAUUGAUCUUCAGUCUACAGCACUUGUUUGGGGCAGGCCCGGUGGUGUGUGUGUCUGUGUCCGAGGACAGUCCUGAUUGCCAAGUCAAUGUGUCAGAGGUCAAGGAAAGGACCCACCCUCCCUUCCCUCCAUCAUCCUCUUUGCACCAUCUCUGUUGUCCUCCUGGUGUUCAUGUGGAGGGUUCAUCCCUCCCCGAUCGGCCAUUCAGUGCUCAAACGCACUUCCCCUUACCCCUCUGAAAAUCACACAAACACACAUACUCUCGCACACAGAGCGGAGUCUAUUAGGUCACACUCUAAGCCCCACCUCCCCUUACUCUGCUCCCUCAAGACAGAGGCCUGGACAUGAAGGAAUCUGAACUGAAUGGCUGAAGGAGGGGGCUGGAGGUGGCCUGUUAAAGAUGCCCUGGGGUGGAAAAAAGAGGCGGGUCCCGGGGCUCAACUCUUCUCAUCCUGACUGAGUGACAGAUACCUCAGGCCUGCCCCUUGGACCCAAGGACUGUAUCAAUAUUGUUCCUUUCUCAUUUUGUUUAGUGGAAGAAAGAAAAGACUGGAAGAGAGAAAGCUGACGUGUACAUUACUUUACUGCAUGGAUGAAUGAUGGGACAACUGUGUGCUAGUGACCUAUUUGUUUUUCUAACUUUUACUUUUUAUUUGGGACUUUUAAUUUAGCUUUCUUUGUUACAUUGUACUAAGAAUUGUAGUUUCUCUUUCCAAACCCCUCUCAAAUUAACCCUCUCAUAUCCCUAGUUCUCUACCUUGCGUCCCUCUUUCACUUUCUCUCCCUGUCUUGUUCUGUCCUCUUGCUGUCUGCCUGUCUAGGUUCUGAAUGAUCCCUAACUGAGCGGAAAUUAGUUGUAAACAGCAUUGUCUCGUCUAAAAUGGUGUUGUAUAUUGAAAUGAUUUUUUUAAUGAAAGAAAAACCAUUAAUACAAAUAAAGUACUUGACUGUGAAGGAGUGUAAA